rnacentral:rRNA from 1 species
UACGGAGGUGCCGAGCGUUAGGCGGAAUCACUGGGCUUAAAGCGUGUGUAGGCGGAUCGUUAAGUGUCUUGUGAAAUCCCAUGGCUUAACCAUGGAACUGCUGGACAUACUGGCGAUCUUGGGCCACUUAGGGGCUGCCGGAACAAAUGGUGGAGCGGUAAAAUGCGUUGAUAUCAUUUGGAACGCCAAUGGCGAAAGCAAGCAGCUGGGAGUGUGCCGACGCUGAGACACGAAAGCCAGGGGAGCAAACGGG